GAAGUCGGAACUCGCGCCGGCCCGAUUCCUGAAGGUGCAGAUUGAGAGCACGCUCGACGCCGUCUGCAAUUUCGCUGCCGAUGUGGUCAGCGGUGAGAUUAAGCCCCCUCUUACUUCUCCCGUGGAUUGCUUUACUCAAGUACUUUCAGUUGGAUUAGGAAGUUCAGCUAUUGGGCCACAGUUUGUUGCAGAGGCAUUGGCUCCCGAUAAUCCUCCAUUGAAGUGUUAAAGAUCGGAGUGUCCAUCCUCCUCUCGCAAUCUACCCUUCAGGAAGCAGCCUUGCAGGAGUUGGUAUUGCUCCAUGCUAAAAAUGUGGACGAAACUGAUGUUCAAGUUGGAGAGCUUGGAUUAGCGGUGCACAGCAAGUCCAGUUCAAGCCAAGAACCGGGUAGAGCCAUCCUGAUGAAGUCCUAUUCCAGGUCAAU